rnacentral:lncRNA from 1 species
CUACAUCUAUUCUUUUUUUCUUUUUCUUUUUGUGAUAAACUUCAAAUUCUAACCUAUCAUUUUGUACUUUCUCACUUUACUAGUAUGUAGUUUAAAUAUAUUACUUUAGCAUUUUAUAGAUUUUUUUUUUUUCUUUUCGUCAACACUUGCGUAAACUUUUCAUAAAAUUAUAUAUAAAAAGUUUCAGCUACCCCAUGCACCCCUAAUUUAUUGAAUAUUUAUCCAAGUACUUUGUAGUUUAUUGAAUAUUUAUUUUAAUAUUUUGUAUUUUUAAUUUUAUCACUGAUUUAAUAAAAAAUUUAAUACAAAAAAAUAAUAAAAAGAGAAAAGCAAAAUCACAAAGUAUUAAGGUGAUACAUUUUAAAUCACAUGCUAUCAU